CCCAGGGGAAUGACUGACCUUUUCCUCCUCACAGGGUUUCCACGGAAUUACGCUACAGAAAACAGCCUUGGGGGCUGGUGAAAUCCUUCAUUGAGAAGAAUUUUUGGAGUGGCCUGGAAGAUUAUUUCCGUCAUUUGGAGAGCGAGCUGACCAAAACAGAGAGCACAUACCUGGCUGAGGUGCACAGACAAUCCCCCAAAGAGAAGGUGAGCAAGCAAUCCACGGUGCGCCGGCGGAAACGCGCCCACGCCCACCUGCGGGUGCCACACCUGGAGGAGGUGCUCAGCCCCGUCACCACCCCCACGGAUGAGGAGGUUGCCCAUCGAAUCAAGCACGUGGCAGGUUCCACUCAGACACGGCACAUCCCUGAGGAGAGCCCCAGUGGCUUCCACCUGCAGAGUGUCUCCAAGCUGCUCCUUGUCAUCAGCUUUGUGUAAGUGAUGACUUUUUCUGCUUUCCUCCCAGUCAGCAUUGAACACCUUUGGUUUAUCUGUGUUCCUGCAGUUCUGUGCGCCCUUCUCUCCUCUCCCCGUGGUUUUGCCCUUGUUUUAGCCAAACAUGGGCUUUGCAGAUCUGUUCUGGGAGUCCUAAAGGCAGGUCUGGGACCUGUCUGGGACCUGUCUGGGACAGGGACAAUCAGGACUGAGGCAGCUGUGCAAGGAGAGAGGAGUCAGUACCUACAAGAGGAGGAAUCCAACAAGUAGAAUAAUUUUAUCUUUUAUUUUUUUACUUCAGGGAUGCAGUUUACAGAUUUUUAGUGACACACAGAAAAACUGUGUGUGUGUUUGGGGGGUGUAAUUUAAAGCAGGUGAUUUAACUGCUGACACACGAGCUGCUAUCAUGGACAGUGACUGUGCAAAGCUCUCUGGGCUACCACAGCAAGGCUUAGUGUCUGUGAGGAUUCUGUCACAUCUUCCCUCUGGUCUUGAAAGACCUUUCCAUGUCAGGUCCUGGGCAGUGAUUUUGAUGAGAGGUACAGCCAGAAAGCAGCUGGACCCUUCAGAGAUGAUUUCUGCACAAUCAGUAAAGAAAACACCUGAGGCACAAGAGAUUGAUGUGAUUUCAGCAGCACAAACUGUUUGGUUUGGGGUUCUUUCCUGCCACACCUUUCAGGAUUGGUGGGCUUGGGCUGGGAUGUGCUCUCCAAGUGAGCUGGGAAUGAGCCUCUCAUGUCCCUGUGGCUCAUUUUAAUACCUGAACUCACUGUUUUUACUGUCCCUCUGCCCUUGGGCCGACAGCAGGCUUCAUUUAGUGCUGGGCUGGUACUGUGGAGCAGAACAGACUAAAACAGUGAUC